AUUGAACGCUGGCGGCAGGCCUAACACAUGCAAGUCGAGCGGAUGAAGGGAGCUUGCUCCUGGAUUCAGCGGCGGACGGGUGAGUAAUGCCUAGGAAUCUGCCUGGUAGUGGGGGACAACGUUUCGAAAGGAACGCUAAUACCGCAUACGUCCUACGGGAGAAAGCAGGGGACCUUCGGGCCUUGCGCUAUCAGAUGAGCCUAGGUCGGAUUAGCUAGUUGAUGAGGUAAUGGCUCACCAAGGCGACGAUCCGUAACUGGUCUGAGAGGAUGAGCAGUCACAAUGGAACUGAGACACGGUCCAGACUCCGACGGGGGGCAGCAGUGGGGAAUAUUGGACAAGGGGCGAAAGCCUGAUCCAGCCAUGCCGCGUGUGUGAAGAAGGGCUUCGGAUUGUAAAGCACUUUAAGUUGGGAGGAAGGGUUGUAGAUUAAUACUCUGCAAUUUUGACGUUACCGACAGAAUAAGCACCGGCUAACUCUGUGCCAGCCGCCGCAGUAAGAC
rnacentral:rRNA from 1 species